GAUGAACGCUGGCGGCGUGCCUAAUACAUGCAAGUCGAGCGAACAGAUGAGGAGCUUGCUCCUCUGACGUUAGCGGCGGACGUGUGAGUAACACGUGGAUAACCUACCUAUAAGACUGGGAUAACUUCGGGAAACCGGAGCUAAUACCGGAUAAUAUAUUGAACCGCAUGGUUCAAUAGUGAAAGACGGUUUUCCUGUCACUUAUAGCUGGAUCCGCGCCGCCUUAUCUAGUUGGUAAGGUAACGCCUUACCAAGGCAACGAUGCUUAGCGGACCUGAGAGGGGAUUCGCCCACCCUGAACCGGAGACACGUUCAGGACCCUUACGGGAGGAGGAAGUGGGAAUAUUCCGCAAUGGGCGAAAGCCUGACGGAGCAACGCCGCGUGAGUGAUGAAGGUCUUCGGAUCGUAAAGCUCUGUUAUUAGGGAAGAACAAAUGUGUAAGUAACUAUGCACGUCUUGACGGUACCUAAUCAGAAAGCCACGGCUAACUACGUG
rnacentral:rRNA from 1 species